rnacentral:rRNA from 1 species
GACAGAGGGUGCAAACGUUGUCCGGAAUUAUUGGGCGUAAAGAGCUUGUAGGCGGUUUGUCGCGUCUGCUGUGAAAAUCCGGGGCUCAACCCCGGACUUGCAGUGGGUACGGGCAGACUAGAGUGUGGUAGGGGAGACUGGAAUUCCUGGUGUAGCGGUGAAAUGCGCAGAUAUCAGGAGGAACACCGAUGGCGAAGGCAGGUCUCUGGGCCACUACUGACGCUGAGAAGCGAAAGCAUGGGGAGCGAACAGG